ACUGACCCUAGAAACAUUGCAAAUGUGGCUUCUGUGUCAUAUGUAUGUCAGUAAAUGGCAGAGAGAAGGAAGGCUAUGUCUACUUCAAUAUUCUGACUUUUAAACAUCUCAUUCUUUAGGAGUAGUCUUACAUU